rnacentral:rRNA from 1 species
UUGGNAUGGGCGAAGCCUGAUCCAGCCUGCCGCGUGUGUGAAGAANGUCUUCGGAUUGUAAAGCACUUUAAGUUGGGAGGAAGGGCAGUAAGUUAAUACCUUGCUAGUUUUGACGUUACCAACAGAAUAAGCACCGGCUAACUUCGUGCCAGCAGCCGCGGUAAUACGAAGGGUGCAAGCGUUAAUCGGAAUUACUGGGCGUAAAGCGCGCGUAGGUGGNUCAGCAAGUUGGAUGUGAAAUCCCCGGGCUCAACCUGGGAACUGCAUCCAAAACUACUGANCUAGAGUACGGUAGAGGGUGGUGGAAUUUCCUGUGUAGCGGUGAAAUGCGUAGAUAUAGGAAGGAACACCAGUGGCGAAGGCGACCCCUGGACUGAUCUGACACUGAGGUGCGAAAGCGUGG